CCAUUUCCACUGAUCUGAUCCGUGCCAACAAAAACAACGACAGUCUAUAAGGAAAGGCUUAGUUUUUUAGUCAUCAUGAAGAGAAAUAGUUUGGUUUUGUGCACUCUGCUCGUUCUGGCUGUCUUCUGUAGUAUUCAGCCAUCUAGUGCUUGGACUAGUGGUGGAGGUGCAAACUUUGGUAAAAGGGAGAUGAUCAAGGUCGUUAGAGCAGCAGAAAGUAUGUGUGCUGUAGCAAGAGAACAUUGCAAAAGAGAAGAAGACAGCAGAUCAACAAGACAGAAUAACUGAGCUCACAACUUAACGACAACAACAAAAAACCGGAUAUCGUUAAUGGAUUGUUAAUAGUAAUGAAUGAUUUAAAGAUAAUAUCUUUAUGAACUAUGUAAGCUUUUAGCCUGAUAUUGCUUGACUUCAGUGAGAUCUAUGACAUCAAUACCGAGUGACUAUAAUGACUAAAAGCUAUUAAAAGGAUGUUCGUAUUA